CAACAAUGUAGAAAGAAAUGUCGGUUGCAAUUAAACCCCGUGGAAAUUGUCAUCCUUUUUUUAAUGAAGUGCAAAAUAAAAGUUUCAAAAAACUAAAUUAAUUUUAAGAUACUACGUUCGAAAACUACGGUUGCACGAAUUAUACUUAUGGAAUCUUCACUAUUUCACAAAAGAAAACAAGAGGGACACUUCAAGGAGAUAAACAAUGUUACUCGUACGAGCUCGCGAUUGAUGAGCAAAGAAAAUGAAUCAGUCAUCAAUCAUGACUGAAUAAGAAAUGAAUGUUUCCCGAUUUCUUAUCUCCGGGGGUAAUUUCUAAGAUAUACGCUUGCCACUAACACGACGCACGAUAACACGAUGCGAGGCGCAAAGAGAUUCUGCGACAGCAUCCAUGCAAUGUAUGUUUUGCCGUGUUUAUUUAUUUAUUCAGCCUGCGACGAUUCCUCGGUAUAAUUGAAAUCAUGGUCCUUCUCGAAAUAUC